UCGGGAGUGACUGCCCGUCCCGGUCCCACCCCUACCGCUCUGGCUGCCCCGAGGUGCACUUCGACGUGAGCUCCCCGGGGGCAUGCCGUCGGCCGGUGUGUAUUCAGCGCCCGCUCGACCCGGCUCCCUGUGGAGCUACGGCGGAGACAAAGGACAGGGGGGCCGGGUCCCCGCCCGCUGUGGGCUACCAGUCUAUCGCGGGGAGGGAAAAGGACAUCGUCGAUUCAGCCUUCUGUGCUUCACUUGUGCUGGGAACAUGCUCGAAGGCCGCUGGGGCCCAGGAGCCGGGAUCCCGGACCAGUCUGGGGAGGAUGAAGGGAGAGAGGGCAAAGCCGCUGCGGGGCGGGGCGGGGUGGGGUCGGGGGGAGAUGCCCCAAGUGCCGAUGGCCUGCAACCUCGCGACUCUUGCAGGGAACCGCACGAAGAGAGCGCGUGGGGGCUCUGUACCGGAGGGAGCUCGGGGAUGGCGAGGGGCCUUGAACUUUACGACCAAGAGUUACAGGAGUCUCUCUAAAGAACAGUAUCAAGCGAGGUUCUCCUUGGGGGCCUCUGGAAAGCUAGACAACCGGAGAGGGCAACUUGGUGGCAGGUGGUUCCUAGCGUGGAUGAUGGGUCCAGGACUUAAUCGAACAAGAUUUCUUUCAACUGCCCAGUAUAGAAGUCGCGCUUGGAAACGCCGGAAGCCUGCACUGGGUAAGCACAUAGGUGAGUAACAAAAGCCUACGGAAGCCGGCGUCUCUGUCGCCCAGCCCCGGCGCGCCCCCUGGCGGCGGUGCUGAUAAUAAGGCAGGAAGUCUGUGGCCAAGGAAGGUGGCCCCCCCCCCCGCCCCGCUCGCGCACCCUCCGGCUGGAAGCCGAAACCUUUGUUGGGGCUAAGGAAUCAGCGGCUGUCUUGGAUUGCUCCUUCUGCUCCUGUCAGCCUCAGCUGAGCAGCUCCUCAGGCGCCCAGGAGCCUCCUCUGGACAGAUGUAUCCAGGAAAAUCUUGUCUGACCUCCCAACUUGAGACCUACCUCACCAUCUCCUCUUCAGAGACCGCCCCCCCCCCCACCAAGUUCUUAGCUGCUCCCCAUCUUGUCCCUCUGGGCCUCUUAUUCCACCUUAUUUUUCUACACAGCCCUAAACAUUGACCUUAUAUUCCAUAUAUUCCAUGUCGAAUGUGCCUG